CCUACGGGGGGCAGCAGUGAGGAAUAUUGGUCAAUGGGCGAGAGCCUGAACCAGCCAAGUCGCGUGAAGGAUGACGGCCCUACGGGUUGUAAACUUCUUUUGUCAGGGAGCAAUUGGGUCCACGCGUGGGCUUAGCGAGAGUACCUGAAGAAAAAGCAGCGGCUAACUCCGUGCCAGCAGCCGCGGUAAUACGGAGGAUGCGAGCGUUAUCCGGAUUGAUUGGGUUUAAAGGGUGCGUAGGCGGUCGGAUAAGUUAGAGGUGAAAUCCCUGGGCUUAACUCGGGUUCUGCAUCUGAUACUGUUAGACUUGAGUACUGGAGAGGUUAGUGGAAUUCCUGGUGUAGCGGUGGAAUGCGUAGAUAUUAGGAGGAACAUCAGUGGCGAAGGCGACUAUCUGGACCGCAACUGACACUGAGGCACGAAAGCGUGGGGAGCAAACAGGAUUAGAUACCCCAGUAGUC
rnacentral:rRNA from 1 species